GUGUUUCAGGUUAUGGCCAGUGCUACUCUUCCUGUCGCCGGUACCACUGAAAAGAGUCUGGCACAUCCUCUUGGCACCAGUCUUUGAGAGGGAUAUUUUCAUGGCUCGUUGGAGGCAUUACUACAAUCAUUUCUCUUGCUGCAGCAGUCUCUAAGGUCCACUGCCUUGAGGCUCACAGCAUGGAGCAAGUGGGGUCAGGCCACCUGCUGAUCUGCAUAAAGAUUUCGCCAUCUUCCUGUGUCAAUCUGAAACAAGCAGAUAAGAAGAAUAUUCAGGGGUGUGACUGCAACAGAAGGUGCUGUGGGGCUUUUCAAUAGCAUGAGAGCAUUUGUAGAUUGAGAAUAAGAGAGACAAGCAAAUAUGUUUAAUUUCUUUUUACAACUGAACUCAUUUCUUGAAUUUUACCCUUAAUUUGUCCUACUUGUAUUUACUACAACAGUAUUUUUAAAUAUAUAUUUAAGAUUUUAUUUACUGCUUAAUGUAUUUUAAUAUGGUUUUAAAGAUUGUGGUACCUGUAGGAUACAGGGAAGCAAACUUUAAAGAAGUGAAAGUUUACUAGCACUAAUCUGGAAAUUAA